UCUCGUGAUGCUAGCGGGUUGGUCACACCUGAUCCCAUUUCGAACUCAGCAGUUAAGCAACUCAGCGCCGAUGGUAGUAGGACUAGAUUCCUGCGAGAGUAGGUCGUCGCGAGAA
rnacentral:rRNA from 1 species